UCAUGCGUUCCAGGAGUGACCGUUAACAGUUCGAGGUCUGGGGAAGUGCAGGGUGGAGGGGGCAAAUGUUCAGCUCAGUCUGCGCGGCUGCCCCUCAUUCCCCCACCAACCCCCCCACAUCACCCCCGAAUCCCCCCUCGUACCUCCGUCACUGAAAUCCCGGGCAAUGUUCCGUUUCGGCCUGGACAGCGGGAUUCCGUCAAUCCAGGCGUAUAGUUCCUGCAAGGCCUCCUUGCUGAGCUCCCGGGUCAUGAUGUCUUGUCACCAUGCUGGGUAACGUCAUCAGUGAGACCUCCAAUGAAGUGAUGUUGUUCUACUCCACUUGGAAUUUAUACUGUCGUCUGGUCUGUUAUGGUUGAGAACCAUGCCUCUAGGAAUUCCUGUGAGCAUCCACAUUAGACUUGGGUUACUUUGGUCACGUUGCCCAGUUAGACUGAUGGCCUUCAUUGUCUGAGUAAUCUGGAUCAACUACUCACCAUAACAGACCAGACAGACAGUGUAAAUUCCAAGUGGAGUAGAACAACAUCAUUUCAUCAGAGGCCUCACUGAAGAAGUUACCAAGCAUGGUGACAAAACAUCUGAACAAAAAAAUAAAGGCAGCUUGGCAAGCAAGUCAUCAACCUUCCCCUCAGAAAGGGGAGGCAAUGGCUAGUAGUAUUAUCACUGGACUGUAAAUCCAGAGACCUGGAUAACAUUCUGGGAACCACAGCAGAUGGUGGAAUUUGAAUUCAAUAAAAUAUCUGGAAUUAAGAAUCUAAUGAUCACUAUGAAGCCAUUGUUGAAUGUCAGGAAAAAUCCAUCUGGUUCACUAAUGUCCUUUAGGGAAGGAAACUCCCAUCCUUACCUGGUCUGGCCUACAUGUGGACUCCAGAGCGACAGCGAUAUGGUUGAUUCUGAACUGCCCCCUGAGCAAUUAGGGAUGGGUAAUAAAUGCUGCCUAGCCAAGGAUGCCCACAUCCCAUGAAUGAAUAAAAAAAGCCUCUUUACCCUUCCUUAUCCCUAACAUCCUCCAAUUCUAUAAUCUUUCCUAGAAUUCUGCUGUCCUCCAAUUCAGGACUCCUGGGCAUUUAAUUUUUUUUCAGCUCUCUGCACCCAAAUAAUUACAGCUCCAAACUUUGAAAUUUCCUCCCAGGCCUCUCCAAAUCUCUUUCCCUCCUUAAACAGUCCCAAAAACCUAACUCCUUUCUCACCCUUAUGGUUCAGUAGAAUUGUGUGUGAUAGCAUUCCUUUGAACUGCCUUGGCUAGUUUCAUGUUACAAGUUACCGUUUGAGUUUUGUUCGAGUUGUUGGGUACAUUACACUGAUAUGCAGGAAAAAUGUAAAUAGCAAAUUUGAAACUUGAAGAACAACAAGAGAAGAAAGUUCACAAGAGCACUCAAAGGUUGAACUGAUAAAACAGAAGGUCAAACAAUGAAGAUGUGAAGAACUGAAAGAGUAUAGUUUCCUCUCCCUGUGAGAAAGGGAAAUACUGGGGUGAGGUGGCCUUGGAGAAGUACUUGCCCACUUAUCACCACCUCAGCAACUGAGUGCUGGGUGAAAACGUCCAUCAGAGGUUCUCUCAACUCAACAGUAACUAAAGCCUUUAAAAUGAUCAAUUAAUGGAAAUUUCUUGGCCUCAACUCACUACCUCCCCAAUCACCUGCCUCUUUAGCAAGAGAAAAGGUGGCUAGUUUCCACCUAGGAAACAAAGUGACCUGUCUGCUGUUUUGAAAAGCAGUCCGGUGGGGUGGGCACGGUGCCAGAGCAGUGGCAUGCAGACCCACACAUUUUCCCCCCCCCCGACCAUGGCGAGAAGAAAAAAAAUUCUUAACUUCUCCUGCUGGAUCCCCCAAAGUGCAGGCCUCAAGUAGCAUGCUUUGGGAUCUAGAAGCUGCCAGGGUCACCAAUGUCAAGGCCUGUGAUAAGAUGAGAAAUACACUCUCUCCUGUUAGGUCUCAAUGAGCUGAUUAACAUGAGAUACAGUAAGUUACAGUAGAGGUGUGCAUUAGCCACCACCUGACAUGAUUGCCGCCACAACUAGAAAACUUGAGAGAAUGCAAUCUUCAAAGUGAGAAAAGCAUUGCUCAGCAAUAAAAAAAAAAUUCUCUUAGGCAGGAAUGAGAAGCUUUUAGAUUUAGGAUCAGUAUUGAACAUUUUGGAAGGACAACUGAAAAUGUUGCAGAUGUAGAAGAGUGCCUGAUUAUAUUAAAUACAUGUAACAGUGUCAUGGAAGCAGACCACAGAUAGAUACAUAACAGAAGUGUUACCAGAAUUAACAGGAAACAGUUGAAUUUAUCAUGGUGACGGAUUUACCUGAGGUGGUGGACGUUUGGGUAUCACUGUAAUCUGCGGUCGUUGAUCAUUGCUUGAGGCAACAAGUAAUGAAUGUUUUACAUGCGGACUUGUGUUGCUAGAAUACAUUGCUUUUGAUUUGGUUCGGUCUUUUCGUUCAAAUGUUGGAUUUGACAAACCACACGAGCUAGAUUUUGUUUGCAUGGGGGCAAAAGAUGAAAAUUUAUGAAUAACGUUUGAACCCAAAUUAGUCACUAAUUUUAACUUUGGUACCAUGGGGUUUGCAGUUUCAUUGCAACUCUCACAGGGUGCAACAAAAAGCUGUGAUAAGCAAUUCCAAUGUCUGCUACUUUCUAGCAGUGGAAUUAUCUAUACAGUGCACAUAAAGUUAAUAUUUUAAGCAUAACAGUUACCUUUUCAAUUACUUUCAAUGCUAACAUCACAUACUACAAAUUCAAUAACUCCAAUACAUUUUUGCAACCAGAAUUCAAAAUAAAGCCAGUAGGAAGAGUACUAGAUCAAUAUUGUUUAAAUAUGUUAAACAGAUGGUUAAUUGGGAAGUGAUUGGUAAUGAGGGUGUGGGGGCAUGGUGGCUCAUUGGUUAGCACUGUUGCCUCAGCUGCAGGAAUCUGGGUCCGAUUCCAGCUUUGGUGACUGUCUGUGCAGUUUGCACUCUGUGUCUGUGCAGGUUUCCUCCCACAGUCACAAAGAUGUACAGGUUAGGUAGAUUCGCCAUGCCAUAUUGUCAGGUGGUGUCUGGGGAUGUGCAAGUUGGGUUGGUUAGUCACAGUAAAUUUAGGGUCUGGGUAGGAUGCUCUUGGGAGGGGAGGGUCUGUGCAGGCUCUAUGGGCCAUUAAGUCUGUAGGGAUUCUAUGAGGUGUGGCUGAUUAUCUACAAUUCUAAAUACAAAAAGAAUGCAUAAUAGAAAACGCUCUUGCUCAAGUAUCUUCAAUACUCAUUCGCAUUUGUAAUUUUGACCUUUUAUCAUUUAAUUAACGAAUAUAAAAAAGAUGAAAAGCAGAGUGUGAUGGUGUAUUUUAUCUUUGGUUGCUACAUAACACAAGGGUGAAUUAAACAGGUAAAAACAUCAUACUUCAGCAUCAUAAGACACUAAGGGCUGCAGUAGCGCAGUGGUAUAGUCCCUACCUCUGGGCCAGAGAUUUUGGGUUUAAAGUGAGAACUGCUCUAGCUGAAUGUCAUCAUGUUAGAACUGGUUAAAAUACUUGAAAAACACUUCACACUACAAGGAAAGGGAAGUUGUGACUGUGAUCAG